CGGGCGCCGGAACCCUCGGCAGACCCGGAGCGAGGGGAGGUGCGCGAGGGCGCCCGGUGCUGCGGCGAGCGGGUCUCCCGGGGCACUCCGAAGACACCGCCCCGGGGCGGAGACGAAGACGCCGUCCUCCCGGGACAAGAGACCAGCCUGAGAAAGGAAAGACAGACUGGGGAUUGCAGCAACUGAAGAUCACAAGAGAGAAGCAGAUAUCCAAACCCUGGUCUUCCUGCACUAAAGCCCUCAGCUGAUACACCGAACUGUGUCCCAGAAAAAGCACCAAGCACUGCACAAAUGGAAAGCAUUUUGUCAAAAUUAUGAUUAUAAACUCAUGCCCGAUUCAUGAGUUACAAAAACAAAACGUAAACAGCACA